rnacentral:tRNA from 1 species
AGUACUGCGCCGGAUGAACGGAAAUCAUUGAUGUUGAUUAAUAUGGGACAAAGGUCUUCAGUGCUA